rnacentral:rRNA from 1 species
CCUACGGGAGGCAGCAGUAGGGAAUCUUCCACAAUGGGCGAAAGCCUGAUGGAGCAACGCCGCGGGGGUGAAGAAGGUCGUCGGAUCGUAAAACCCUGUUGUUAGAGAAGAAAGUGCGUGAGAGUAACUGUUCACGUUUCGACGGUAUCAAACCAGAAAGCCACGGCUAACUACGUGCCAGCAGCCGGGGUAAGACGUAGGUGGCAAGCGUUAUCCGGAUUUAUGGGGCGUAAAGGGAACGCAGGCGGUCUUUUAAGUCUGAUGUGAAAGCCUUCGGCUUAACCGGAGUAGUGCAUUGGAAACUGGGAGACUUGAGUGCAGAAGAGGAGAGUGGAACUCCAUGUGUAGCGGUGAAAUGCGUAGAUAUAUGGAAGAACACCAGUGGCGAAAGCGGCUCUCUGGUCUGUAACUGACGCUGAGGUUCGAAAGCGUGGGUAGCAAACAGGAUUAGAUACCCCUGUAGUC